UGGAACUUUGCCAUUCUCAUUGAAAAUGAAGCUUCCGUCUCUGGGAUCAAAGUAGGUGCUGCAGGAGGGGGUGGGGCCUGUCUAAGGAGUAGGCGGGGCUAGUUGGUAGAGCUCACCCGGCAGUUCUGGGACCGCAUGGAGGGCGGUGAGCGCUUCUCCCAAGGUAGAACCAGCGGCACUGGAGCGCCGGCGUCCUCUGCCAGCACCCCUUCCUCGCCGGCCGGCACUUCGACUGCAGACUUUUGCCCACGCUUCAAGACUUAGGGCGCAGUGCCUUUCAGAAUUUGCCCACUCGUCUGGUAUAACUAGUUCUGAUGGCUGGGAAUAAAGGAAGAGGACGUGCUGCUUAUACCUUUAAUAUUGACGCUGCUGGAUUUAGCAAAGGUGAAGUUACCUGAUGUAGUUAGUGUUGAAACCGCCCCCACUAUUUCCUGAUACAGAUUAUAAAGCAGUACCACUGAAAGCAGGAGAAGGUAAAGAAUAUAUGCUGGCUUUGAAACAGGAGUUGAGAGAAAAAAAUGCCUUAUUUUAUUGAAACACCUGAAGAAAGACAAGAUAUUGAAAGGUAUAGUAAAAGAUAUAUGAAGGUGUACAAGGAAGAAUGGAUACCAGAUUGGAGAAGACUUCCAAGAGAGAUGAUGCCAAGAAAUAAACAUAAAAAAGACCACAAACUCAAAAAGGCAAAAGACGCAGGCAAAGGCACUUCACUAAUACUGCCAAUGUUUUGAAAAAAAUUGAGGAAUCGGAAAAGAGAGGUGAUGGUGAAAAAUCAGAUGAGGAAAAUGAAGAGAAAGAAGGAAGCAAAGAGAAAAGUAAAGAAGGUGAGGAUGACAACGAUGAUGCUGCUGCAGAACAGGAGGAAUAUGAUGAAGACCAAGAAGAGGAAAAUGACUACAUUAAUUCAUACUUUGAAGAUGGAGAUGACUUUGGCGCAGACAGUGAUGACAACAUGGAUGAAGCAACCUAUUCGGCAUGAAAAUUUUCAAAAAAUAUUUUUAUGAUACAGCUUCUCUGAAUAUUUGGACAGAAUUGUUUUGUAUUUUAUUUCUGAUAAGGUAUAAGUAUUUAUGUUUUUGUUUUUUUUGGACAAAUAUUUGUUACCAAAAUAUUCAAAACCACUUUGAGUUUACAUACUAGGUACCUUACAAAUUAGUCCCUGACACUCGGACAUUCCUUCUAAACACCUCUGCCAUCUCUCUUAUGUACUCUCAUGGAUUUUUUCAUAUUUUAAUAUGAAUGUGCCUAAAGAACUUAUGCUCGCUUAAUCUAUGUGUACAUAUUUGAAGAAAUCAUUCUUGUUUAACUGCUGAUCUUUUAUAAAACUAUUGCUAGUCAUAAUGAAUUUCUAUAACCUGAAAGUUGAUAUAACAGCACAUUGAGCACUUUAAAAACUAAGAAACUUGAAAAUAAUUUUAGUUUUUACUUUUACAUAGUGUGUUCUAGACUACUGCAUUUUUGACUACAUAAACCUACCCGAGCUCUUACAAGUGCAGAAUUGUGAGAUAGAGGUUUUGUGAUGGAAAACAUACACACAGGGAAAAAUACCAAACUGAGCAAUAUCAAGUUCACAGCUCACAUCUUAGCCAGUACAAAGAAACUUUCACAUGGGGUGAAUAUUAUAAAGACUUGAAUUUGGGACUCACUUGAUACUGUAUGAUAUAUAAAUUAAUCAUCCCACUGUAAUAACUUGGACAUCUUCAAAUAGUUGGGCUUAUGAAAAACUUGACUAAGACAUUUUAUUUUAUCCUUUAUGUAAGUGUGAAAAAAGUUCUGGUCAUAUAAAUAUCACUGUAGAAUGCAUGUAUGUGAACUCUAUGAAGUAUGGUGGCCUUUUGUGUUUCAGAGUACUCAAGUUGUGCAUUUGAUUUAUAUAAAUGCAAAAUGAACUCAGGUCAUUUUGAAAUUAAGAUUUUUUUGUUUAACUUUAAAGCUAGCUCCCCCAACUUUACAUAUUUUUGGGGGGAAAAAUGCCUAAAAACCUUAGCCUACAGACUCUCACAAAUGCCAAAGAUUUUCAAGGAAAUUCAUAUUAUAUAUUUGAAAAAUGAUUUAUCAACAUUAUCUACCAAAAGAAAUUAUUUUUCCCCUUUGGGAAGAUAUCAUUAACCUGAAAUGUGAGAAUCUGAUCCCUAAAUUCUAUUUCUACCUGUACUAUUAAACUCAAUCUUGAAACUGAGUGUGGUUGUUUAUGUGCCUUAGUUUCUCCACUCGUACACAAUUUCCUAUAAAAGUUGUUUAAACACCAACCAAAAUUUACUAUAUGUAUUUAUUCUCUUUAAAGAUGACUUCUUAAUUUACAUUUGGUUCUCACCCUCUAAAAAUUUAUAGUUUAGGAAGUAACUGAAAACAGAAUUUUGAGAAACAUGUUUUCCUCACAAAAUAUAAUCUGAUUUUCCUAUCUUGUAUUCAUGCAGAAAAUUGGGAAAAAUAGUGUAUUGUCUUGUGCCAUUUUGCAACAUGAGUUUCUCGGAAAAAAGAUCACUUUCAAUGGCAAUAUUUUCUUAAAUAAUUCAAGAUGGGUGUGAGUACCUAUCUUAUUAGUUUAGUGCUGUAUUAACCAUUUGUGAAUUAUUUCUUGUUUAAAGGAAGUUGUAAAACAAAUUUAAGAUUAUAAAUGGAAUACAUGAAUAAAAUAAGCCUUAGAAUAGAAACCACACAUAAAGUUGUCAUUUGGGGUUGAUAAUUAACAUAGGUGUUUUAUUCUCUCACCACCUUAGUACCAGAACUAAAUACCAUUUAGUUCUCAGAAAUCUUAUCAAUAUUGUUCUGUUUACCUACUUAUGAUAAAUCUGCAGAUAACCACUUGAACCAGGCAAAUACACUGAAGGUAAUUUCUUUUUUAGCUUUGAAUUUGUCAUGACCAUUUUAGUCUUGCAGAUAGCAGGGCAGCCCCUUGGGUCACCAGCCAUCCCCUUUAAAAAGCCUUCUUUUUACAACGUUAAAGUUAAUUGUAAGAACAAGCAGGAUUUGCAGGUUGCUUUACCAGCAUGAAUCUCAUUUUCCUGGCCGAAAAUCUGAGACUGUGAAAUUAUUCCAUAGGAAAGUUAAUUUUAUUUUGCAGAGAUAGCCUCUUAGAUAAAAGUUGUUGAAGUGUCUUUAAAAUUGCUAUCAUGAGCAAAAUUGUUUGGUUGCUAUAAUGCUUAUUUUUCUGUAUUUGUUUACACAUUAAAUUCUUACAAAA